GACGAACGCUGGCGGCGUGCUUAACACAUGCAAGUCGAACGGAAAGGCCCUGCUUGCAGGGUACUCGAGUGGCGAACGGGUGAGUAACACGUGGGUGAUCUGCCCUGCACUUCGGGAUAAGCCUGGGAAACUGGGUCUAAUACCGGAUAGGAGCCAUUUUUAGUGUGAUGGUUGGAAAGUUUUUUCGGUGUAGGAUGAGCUCGCGGCCUAUCAGCUUGUUGGUGGGGUAAUGGCCUACCAAGGCGGCGACGGGUAGCCGGCCUGAGAGGGUGGACGGCCACAUUGGGACUGAGAGACGGCCCAGACUCCUACGGGAGGCAGCAGUGGGGAAUAUUGCACAAGGGGCGCAAGCCUGAUGCAGCGACGCCGCGUGGGGGAUGACGGCCUUCGGGUUGUAAACGCCUUUCGCUAGGGACGAAGCUUUUUGUGACGGUACCUAGAUAAGAAGCACCGGCUAACUACGUG
rnacentral:rRNA from 1 species